AUUGAACGCUGGCGGCAGGCCUAACACAUGCAAGUCGAGCGGAUGAAGGGAGCUUGCUCCUGGAUUCAGCGGCGGACGGGUGAGUAAUGCCUAGGAAUCUGCCUGGUAGUGGGGGAUAACGUCCGGAAACGGGCGCUAAUACCGCAUACGUCCUGAGGGAGAAAGUGGGGGAUCUUCGGACCUCACGCUAUCAGAUGAGCCUAGGUCGGAUUAGCUAGUUGGUGGGGUAAAGGCCUACCAAGGCGACGAUCCGUAACUGGUCUGAGAGGAUGAUCAGUCACACUGGAACUGAGACACGGUCCAGACUCCUACGAGAGGCAGCAGUGGGGAAUAUUGGACAAUGGGCGGAAGCCUGAUCCAGCCAUGCCGCGUGUGUGAAGAAGGUCUUCGGAUUGUAAAGCACUUUAAGUUGGGAGGAAGGGCAGUAAGUUAAUACCUUGCUGUUUUGACGUUACCAACAGAAUAAGCACCGGCUAACUUCGUG
rnacentral:rRNA from 1 species